rnacentral:lncRNA from 1 species
CGGCGGGCGCGCGCAUCCCGGGCCCGGCCUGGCGGCGGAGUCGUGCUGCGGGGCGAGGCUGCGGGCGGCGGGGCUGGAGGAGAGGUCCGCGCCGCGCGCCGCUGCUGUCCUCGGAUCCCCGACGGCCGGGCGCCCGGAGACCCGGGAUGCUGGUCCUCUCCUCCUCCCAGGUAAACACAAGGAGCCCCUGUCCCCUUCGUGGUAUGUUACUGCUGGGUCUGCGGGCCCGUCGUCAGGCCAACCGGGGUGCGAGCCCGACCGGGGAGCUCCCGUGUCACAGGUUCUCAUCCUCACACCGUCAGGACACCAGUGGCGGGUGGUGACUGUUCCCACCAGUGUGCAAACCCCCCACAUUCGGCUCCUCUGUGGUGUGACCGCCCCUGUCCCAGUGAUGCCCGGGUGGGGUUUCUUUGGGGGGUCCCAAAAGAACUUAGGCGCCUCUGCAAACCCCUCUGCCUAGCUACUACUCUGGCUACGCAGUGGAGACAACAGGGUCUGACUCACCCUCUCCAUCUUCCGUGGGAGUCACAAGACGCCUGAGAGUCCUCUGGAGGUGAGCCACUUCUAGAAAGGACGGAAUCUCCACCACCUCUGGCCCGUGACUCCAUCCACCCUCUCCUCCAACAUGACCUCUGUGUGGCUCUGCCCAAGGAGCCCCCAGACCCCCACUGGCCAAUGACGUAGAUACAUCAGAAAUAUCUUGGUUUAACAUUUGAGGUCAGAGGCAGGCACUUUCUAGGGCAGAAAUCAAAGAAGCACAAGGGCAGCUCCCCAACCAUGGCACCCGCCUCACUGGGGGUUCCGGGCCCUUGCCACUACAGAAGCAGAUAGAAUGAUCCAGCGUUGUCAACGUAGCAUCAGGUCGAAGUGCAGCCAUAGGCCCUGGUUCCUCAAUAGCUGGCGGCUGGAGCCACACAUGGUUUGGGGACAAUCUGGAGACUAUGCUUAAAGUCUAGUUAACAUUACUGACCCAUCUUCACAGCCCCCAUGGGGCCACGAGCCCUUGAGCACUUCCUUUCAAAAAUGGGAAUUUGUUGUCAGGACAAGCAUCCAGGGUCUAGACCAGAGCUUGUGCAGAGCUGGGGUUUGUUCCCUUUGCUUAUUUUAUUUUAUUUUAUUUUAUUUUAUUUUAUUUUAUUUUAUUUUAUUUUAAUUAUUUUAUUUUAUUAUUAUUUUAUUUAUUCAUGAGAGACAGAGAGAGAGAGAGAGAGACAGGCAGAGGGAGACGCAGGCUCCAUGCAGGAGGCCCAACGUGGGACCCCAUCCCAGGACCCCGGGGUCACACCCUGAGCUGAAGGCAGAUGCUCAACUGCUGAGCCCCCCAGGCGUCCCCCCUUCUCUGAUUUUAUAAAACGGGCACUCCAAAACCCCAAUGUAGCCUGCAUGAGGGCGGUUACUGCCCAUUUACCGGUAGCCGCGGCCCGCGUGCUCCACCUGGGCUCGGUAUAGGAAGCACCUGAAUAAUUGAAAUCUCUAAUUGGGUUAAAGAGAUCCUUAGCACAUAGACGUUCUAUAAAUAAAAGAAUGAGUGAAUAAUAUAGUGACUUUCCUUUGUGUAGGCCCUUCCCCCUCAGGAGACC